rnacentral:lncRNA from 1 species
ACGUUUAACUUGUGAGAGGUUAUACCUGGGUCGAAUGCCCUUCAUAUCCAAGCUCGUCCAUGUGAAAGUCAACAUGUUUUGCUUCAGUAAGUUGCCGACUGUCUGUUGCAUCUGGUCGGACAGAUAAGCGCCGAUUCUGACCAAUUUGCUCGGGUUGGUUUCGUCGAUCAGAAUCUCGAGUAUUUCAUCCUUUUGGGGGUGGAUGUUAUGUAUCUGCUUUGAGAUUGC